UAGAGCGAUAGAGGAAUAGUUUUCGAUAACAAAACUACAUGCCACUUUAAGUUAUCAAUUCUAAACCAGAGCCAAGCACAAUUUCUAGUUGAUAGAAUAGGUAGAUUUGUAUUAUCGCUUGCAUAUGAAUGAACUGGAAGCGUUGUUCUAAUAUGUAGGGCUCAUUUGGUUUGUGGGAAGCUUUUCCCUUUCUAGGAAUAUGAUUCCUGGAAAACAAAUUCCUAGGAAGAGGAUGCCUAGGAAAGUACUUUUGGCAUGUUUGGUUGACCAUGGGAAAGUGACAAAUUUUCAAAAUGCUUAUGUUUGGUUGGCCAUCCACUUUCCUGGGAAAGUUGUGUAUAAUUCCUAUCAUGCCCUUAAUAAAAAUUAGGUCUUUAAUGCCUCUUUAAUGCUUCUUUAAUGCUGAAGGGUCUUUUUGGGAAAAAAUAAAAAUAAAGUGAUUCCCGCCUAAUGGGAAAGUAACUUUCUCAUGUUUCUCAUGGGAAAGACUUUCCCAUGAAAUGUGGGAAUCAUAUUCCCAUGGGAAUACAACUUUCCCAUCUCUCUCCUUUGAAAACUCCAACCAAACAAAAGGCAUCUCAUUACUUUUCCAUUGAUCACAAUUUCCCUCCUUCUUUUUCUGCGAACCAAACGAGCCCGUAGAUGUUUCCAUAU
rnacentral:lncRNA from 1 species